rnacentral:rRNA from 1 species
UACGUAGGGUGCGAGCGUUAAUCGGAAUUACUGGGCGUAAAGCGUGCGCAGGCGGCUUUUUAAGCCAGAUGUGAAAUCCCCGGGCUUAACCUGGGAACUGCAUUUGGAACUGGAAGGCUAGAGUGUAGCAGAGGGGGGUAGAAUUCCACGUGUAGCAGUGAAAUGCGUAGAUAUGUGGAGGAAUACCGAUGGCGAAGGCAGCCCCCUGGGCUAACACUGACGCUCAUGCACGAAAGCGUGGGGAGCAAACAGG